GUUUUUAGACAGAGAGGGCCAGCUUCCUAAAAGUAAUCUACAUUUUGCCUCCAGGGCACAACAGAUGCCUUCAGAAAGAGAGUUGAGACUAUUGGUGAUAUUCUUUUACAUGCAUAUCAUUCCGAUAACAACCUAAUGAUCAAAAGUCUACCCAUAACGUCUUAUAAGGGAACGCUGGUAUGACAUGGAAGAAGUCCCUUCCAGUAUUGCAGCUUCUGAUGAAGCAUAUUGCUGCAGAACAGGAGGACCAUAAGGAGCUGACGGGCCAGAGAAGUAGUUGUGUGUAGCACUACUCUCGUGAGGUGGCAGCAUUCCUCGCUCUACUCCUGAGUACAAUUGGUAAUUCCUGUCAUUUAGCUCCAUGAGAUGUGGCUGCGACACAACCCCACUUCGCAUUGAUUCAUACCUGUGAUAUGGAUUCCAUAUAUCAGUUGAAAUGCCUUGAGUGACAUAUGAUUGAUGAGAAUAUGCAUUACUGGGAGCAGUCAACUGUUUAGGUUCUCCAACUGUAAGAGCACUCUCCAUGAAGCUCGUGGUUCUAGGCCAUCCACGCUGAGCACUUUGAAGUUCAUAGACUCGUUGAGAUUCCACAAUUGGUGGAGGAUGAACGUGCUGCAUUCUGGUCAUAUAUGGAUUCUCCACAGAAGUGGGCAUCGAGGAAUACUUAGAAUGAUGUUCCAUAUACAAAGCAGGAAUUGUGUUUGGUGGUGGAAGAUUGGCCAAUGAUGAACCCACUUUUGCCUGGGGACAGGACAGCAACUUAACCCGAUCUUCCAUAGCCCAAGCGGGUGUAAUCUUUGGCAUGUCAACAUUAGCAAAAGACUGGCCCACUUUUUCCAGUGGAUGGGCCACCACUGUUGCUGUUACUGACGCAGGUAGGGGACGAAAUAUAGACAAUAAACUCCUCACUUGAUGAUCAUUUAAUUCGGGUUCAAACUUUCUGUCACGAUAAUUGUCCUUUAUAGCGUGUCUGAAAGAGGGUUCUGGCAGGGGAAGACAUUCCUUAAAAAUUCGAAAUUUCACCUGUGCUGGAAAUUUGCCUCCAAAAGCAAGUGGCUCCAAGUUCAUUAUUCCAGUGGAUGUUGCCUCAUAUACACCAUACAGAAGUUUUGCUUCGAAAUCAAACAGGAAAAGCUUUGCCCCUGGCUUAAUAUUUUUUAUUAUUUCUUGUUUGUUCAAAGGAAGCCCAAACACACGGAAUCUGUAACAAUCAUGUUUUGUAUUUCUACCACACAUGAAUAUAAAACCAGAAAUAUCAUCCUGUCGGUCAGAUUCAUCUUGGGUGUCCUCAGAUGGAUCAAUGUCUACAGCUUCACCAGUAUUUUGCUCAUUGACAAAAGCAGUAGACAAACGAGGCUGGUGCUUGGGUUCAUCCUGAUGUUCCUUAGCAAAAGCAGGAUUAGUAUUUAGUGGGCAAACAUUGGCCAUUGAUGAACCCACUUCCUGAGGAUACGACAGCGACUUAACCUGAUCUUUCACAGCCAAGGCAGGCAUAAUCUUUGGCAAGCCAACAUUAGCCAAACAUGGUGCCAAUGGAUGGGACACAACUGCUGCUGUUGCUGAUGCAGUCAGGGGACAAAAUAAGGAUAAUAGACUCCUCACUUGAUAAUCAU
rnacentral:misc_RNA from 1 species